rnacentral:rRNA from 1 species
GACAGAGGUCCCGAGCGUUAGGCGGAAUCACUGGGCUUAAAGCGUGUGUAGGCGGAUGCCUAAGUACCUUGUGAAAUCCCACGGCUCACCCGUGGAACUGCUUGGUAUACUGGGUGUCUUGAGCCACUUAGGGGCUACCGGAACAAAUGGUGGAGCGGUGAAAUGCGUAGAUAUCAUUUGGAACGCCAAUGGUGAAAACAGGUAGCUGGGAGUGUGCUGACGCUGAGACACGAAAGCCAGGGGAGGCAAACGGG